GUCCUCUGACUCUAGUCGGUGACGGGUAUUCUUGGGUGGAUAAUCCGGAUGACGUUGUUAUGGUUUAAGAAUACGUGUAUUCAAGGAAAGUACAAGGUCG
rnacentral:pre_miRNA from 10 species